rnacentral:rRNA from 1 species
UUCGGGGAUGAUUGUUCUGUGACUGAGUGGCGGACGGGUGAGUAACGCGUGGAUAACCUGCCUCACACAGGGGGAUAACAGUUGGAAACGGCUGCUAAUACCGCAUAAGCGCACAGCACCGCAUGGUGCAGUGUGAAAAACUCCGGUGGUGUGAGAUGGAUCCGCGUCUGAUUAGCUAGUUGGCGGGGUAACGGCCCACCAAGGCGACGAUCAGUAGCCGGCCUGAGAGGGCGACCGGCCACAUUGGGACUGAGACACGGCCCAGACUCCUACGGGAGGCAGCAGUGGGGAAUAUUGCACAAUGGGGGAAACCCUGAUGCAGCGACGCCGCGUGAGCGAUGAAGUAUUUCGGUAUGUAAAGCUCUAUCAGCAGGGAAGAUAAUGACGGUACCUGACUAAGAAGCUCCGGCUAAAUACGUGCCAGCAGCCGCGGUAAUACGUAUGGAGCAAGCGUUAUCCGGAUUUACUGGGUGUAAAGGGAGCGUAGGCGGUCCUGCAAGUCUGAUGUGAAAGGCCGGGGCUCAACCCCGGGACUGCAUUGGAAACUGUAGGACUAGAGUGUCGGAGGGGUAAGUGGAAUUCCUAGUGUAGCGGUGAAAUGCGUAGAUAUUAGGAGGAACACCAGUGGCGAAGGCGGCUUACUGGACGAC